rnacentral:rRNA from 1 species
GACGAACGCUGGCGGCGUGCUUAACACAUGCAAGUCGAACGGAAAGGCCCUGCUUUUGUGGGGUGCUCGAGUGGCGAACGGGUGAGUAACACGUGAGUAACCUGCCCUUGACUUUGGGAUAACUUCAGGAAACUGGGGCUAAUACCGGAUAGGAGCUCCUGCUGCAUGGUGGGGGUUGGAAAGUUUCGGCGGUUGGGGAUGGACUCGCGGCUUAUCAGCUUGUUGGUGGGGUAGUGGCUUACCAAGGCUUUGACGGGUAGCCGGCCUGAGAGGGUGACCGGCCACAUUGGGACUGAGAUACGGCCCAGACUCCUACGGGAGGCAGCAGUGGAGAAUAUUGCACAAUGGGCGGAAGCCUGAUGCAGCAACGCCGCGUGCGGGAUGACGGCCUUCGGGUUGUAAACCGCUUUCGCCUGUGACGAAGCGUGAGUGACGGUAAUGGGUAAAGGAGCACCGGCUAACUACGUG